GGAUGAACGCUAGCUACAGGCUUAACACAUGCAAGUCGAGGGGCAGCAUGAACAAGCUUGCUAUCUUGGGUGGCGACCGGCGCACGGGUGAGUAACGCGUAUCCAACUGCCCAUUACUCUGGGAUAGCCUUGCGAAAGUAAGAUUAAUACCGGAUGUUGUUAAAAACCCGCAUGAGUUUUUAACCAAAGAUUUAUUGGUAAUGGAUGGGGAUGCGUGACAUUAGGUAGUAGGUGAGGUAACGGGCUCACCUAGCCGACGAUGUCUAGGGGUUCUGAGAGGAAGGUCCCCCACACUGGAACUGAGACACGGUCCAGACUCCUACGGGAGGCAGCAGUGAGGAAUAUUGGUCAAUGGACGAGAGUCUGAACCAGCCAAGUAGCGUGCAGGAUGACGGCCCUCUGGGUUGUAAACUGCUUUUAGUUGGGAAUAAAAAGAGGGACGUGUCCCUAAUUGUAUGUACCAUCAGAAAAAGGACCGGCUAAUUCCGUG
rnacentral:rRNA from 1 species